GUAGUAUUCCCCCCGUCCCAAAAUUCUUGUCUUAUAUUUGUUUAGAUACGGAUGUAUCUAAGACUAAAAUGUAACUAGAUACAUCCGUAUUUAGACAAAUUUAAGACAAGAAUUUUGGGACAGAGGGAGUACAAA
rnacentral:pre_miRNA from 1 species